CCAUCUGAAAAACCUCCAGGUGGUCUACAAAAGAAAUCUCACUGAUAAACCAACAGCAAAAUCAUGGAGCGAACUCGCUCAAGUCACUCUGACACAGCUAAUACUGUUCAAUCGCCGUCGUGAAGGAGAAGUUUCAAGAAUGGAACUCAGCACAUAUUUACAAAGGAGCCAACACGACAUGCAUGAUGAAGUUUUAGAGAGCCUUUCAAAGUUUGAAAAAAAACUUUGUGAGAAUCUCACCAGAGUAGAGAUACGGGGGAAAAGGGGCCGCAAAGUGCCUGUCCUGUUCCCAACAAAUGUAAAAGAGUCUGUGGAUCUCCUGAUUAAAACUAGAGAAGAGGCUGGGAUUUCCCCCACCAAUCCCUACAUUUUUGCUCGUCCAUAUUAUGGAUCCCAAGAGAGCUUUCGUGGAUGUGACUGUUUAAGACGGUUUGCAGAAAGCUGUGGAGCUAAACUCCCACAGAAUCUCACAUCAACCAAACUACGGAAACAUCUAGCCACAGUUUCACAACUCUUAAACCUACAAACCCACGAACUAGACCAGCUGGCAACUUUCAUGGGACAUGAUAUUGAGGUCCACAGGGAAUUUUACAGACUGCCAGAGGAAACAAUCCAAAUGGCAAAAGUCAGUAGACUUCUUUUUGCUCUGCAAGGUGGAAUGGGUAAAUUCAAAGGAAAAUCCCUGGAAGACAUCACACCAAACAUCAACUCUGAGGAGGAGUCUAGUGACUCAGAAGCAGAUGUCCAAUCUGAGGGGACUGUUAACAGAAG